rnacentral:rRNA from 1 species
GUGCCAGCCGCCGCGGUAAUACGUAGGGGGCGAGCGUUGUCCGGAAUUACUGGGCGUAAAGGGUGCGUAGGCGGCCCUUUAAGUCGGAUGUGAAAGCCCGCGGCUUAACCGCGGAAUGGCAUUCGAAACUGGAGGGCUUGAGUGUCGGAGAGGGUAGUGGAAUUCCCAGUGUAGCGGUGAAAUGCGUAGAUAUUGGGAGGAACACCAGUGGCGAAGGCGACUACCUGGACGAUAACUGACGCUGAGGCACGAAAGCUAGGGGAGCAAACAGGAUUAGAUACCCUGGUAGUCCUAGCCGUAAACGAUGGGUACUAGGUGUGGGUGGUUUCGAUACCAUCCGUGCCGUAGUUAACGCAUUAAGUACCCCGCCUGGGGAGUACGUGCGCAAGCAUGAAACUCAAAUAAAUUGACGG